rnacentral:rRNA from 1 species
GAUGAACGCUAGCUAUAGGCUUAACACAUGCAAGUCGAGGGGAAACGGCAUUAUGUGCUUGCACAUUUUGGACGUCGACCGGCGCACGGGUGAGUAUCGCGUAUCCAACCUGCCCUUUACUUGGGGAUACCCCGUUGAAAGACGGCCUAAUACCCGAUGUAAUUCAUUGAUGGCAUCAGAUAUGAAUAAAAGAUUUAUCGGUAAAGGAUGGGGAUGCGUCUGAUUAGCUUGUUGGUGAGGUAACGGCUCACCAAGGCGACGAUCAGUAGGGGUUCUGAGAGGAAGGUCCACCAGAUUGGAACUGAGACACGGACCAAACUCGUACGGGAGGCAGGGGUGAGGAAUAUAAGGCAAUGAGCGCAAGCCUGAAACAGCCAAGUAGGGUGCAGGAAGACGGGCCUAUGGGUUGUAAACUGCUUUGAUACGAGAAUAAUUUGAUGAACGUGUGCGUUAUUGCAUGUAUCGAAUGAAUAAGGACCGGCUAAUUCCGUG